UACGUAGGGGGCAAGCGUUGUCCGGAUUUAUUGGGCGUAAAGAGCGUGUAGGCGGCCAAACAGGUCAGCUGUGAAAACUCGAGGCUCAACCUCGAGACGUCGGUUGAAACCGUUUGGCUAGAGUCCGGAAGAGGAGAGUGGAAUUCCAGGUGUAGCGGUGAAAUGCGUAGAUAUCUGGAGGAACACCGGUGGCGAAGGCGGCAUCCUGGACCGGCAUUGACGCUGAGGCGCGAAAGCCAGGGGAAGCCAAAGCGGGGAU
rnacentral:rRNA from 1 species